UGGGGAAUUUUGGACAAUGGGCGAAAGCCUGAUCCAGCAAUGCCGCGUGUGUGAAGAAGGCCUUCGGGUUGUAAAGCACUUUUGUCCGGAAAGAAAUCCUUGGCUCUAAUACAGUCGGGGGAUGACGGUACCGGAAGAAUAAGCACCGGCUAACUACGUGCCAGCAGCCGCGGUAAUACGUAGGGUGCAAGCGUUAAUCGGAAUUACUGGGCGUAAAGCGUGCGCAGGCGGUUUGCUAAGACCGAUGUGAAAUCCCCGGGCUCAACCUGGGAACUGCAUUGGUGACUGGCAGGCUAGAGUAUGGCAGAGGGGGGUAGAAUUCCACGUGUAGCAGUGAAAUGCGUAGAGAUGUGGAGGAAUACCGAUGGCGAAGGCAGCCCCCUGGGCCAAUACUGACGCUCAUGCACGAAAGCGUGGGGAGCAAACAGGAUUAGAUACCCUGGUAGUCCACGCCCUAAAACGAUGUCAACUAGUUGUUGGGGAUUCAUUUCCUUAGUAACGUAGCUAACGCGUGAAGUUGACCGCCUGGGGAGUACGGUCGCAAGAUUAAAACUCAAAUGAAUUGACCGGGGUCAUAGCUG
rnacentral:rRNA from 1 species